GGGGAGUGGGCCUAAGCCACAGCACGCCAGCAGUCCCGCCUCUGCACGUGAGCUGCAGAGGAAACACCUUUUCUUACCGCUCAUUGGCUAAGCUCC